rnacentral:rRNA from 1 species
GACGAACGCUGGCGGCGUGCCUAACACAUGCAAGUCGAACGAGAGUAGCAAUACUCUAGUGGCGGACGGGUGAGUAACACGUGGGUAACCAACCUUGAUGAGGGGAAUAGCCUUCCGAAAGGAAGAAUAAAACCGCAUAGAAUUAAUUUAUCGCAUGAUAGAUUAAUUAAAAGAGCAAUCUGCAUCAAGACGGGCCCGCGUCGCAUUAGCUAGUUGGUAGAGUAAAAGCCUACCAAGGCAACGAUGCGUAGCCGAUCUGAGAGGAUGAACGGCCACAUUGGAACUGAGAGACGGUCCAAACUCCUACGGGAGGCAGCAGUGGGGAAUAUUGCACAAUGGGGGAAACCCUGAUGCAGCGACGCCGCGUGAGUGAAGAAGGCCUUCGGGUUGUAAAGCUCUGUCAUUUGGGAAGAAGAAAGACGGUACCAAAUGAGGAAGCCACGGCUAACUACGUGCCAGCCGCCGCAGUAAAAC